UGAACUUGUAACCCACAUUCGAACCCGCCUUUAUCCAUUUCAACUGUUCAACAAAGAGGACAGGUUGUGGCUGAGUCCGUGGCACCCGGCCAGGGUUUCUGCAGAAUGGCGGAGGCUGAUGCUGAAUUGUCGGCCACACGGCUCGCCUCCGCCGCUGCUGAGGUGCCACGUGGACCUCGCCCUCCUGUCCUAUCAAAUGAGCUGUGUGGCCACUAUCGAAGCCGAGUCUACAGGACGCAGUUCACGCAGUGAUGCAUCCCAGUCGGACCCAAUUUGAUCAAAGAAUGCAUGGUGUCUUCUCGGCAUGCAUGAUGUCGAACUUCAACACCAUUCAAAAUCAUUUUCAUCAGACAUCAAAGAUGGAUUUACUUGAAAAAAAAAUAGACUUUUAUUUGCACUAUUUGUUUAUAUGCAUGCAGAUACUUCGUUUAUUAAUUGUGACAGUCUUAUCCGCGUAAUUAUAGGCAGAGGAAACUUAUCGAAACAUUUCAAACUUAAUUCUUAUUGCUUAGUCGUUUAAUACUUUAAGAUGUGAUCGAACUUAGGUUAGGUUUAUUUUAAAACCAAUUAAUUAGGAGUGGCGCAAUUCGCACUGCAUUAACAGGUGUUCUUUUUAUAUUGGUUUAUGUUUUUAGCUAUAAGGUCGUAUUAAAUCUUAUGAUUUUUAUUCCACUCUAUCAAUAAUUUAGUAGGUAUAGGUCAUCACAGUGGGUGGUACAAUUUUAGCCGGUUCGUCUUGUAAGCAGAUUACACAGUUUAUUCGUCCUGUCAGAUUAGCAGUUUAUUUUGUUUUAGCUUUUAAGUUACAGAUUUCAAACACGCACGUAAAUGUUUAAUUAUAAUUUGAGGUUAUGUUUAGUAGUCUCAUAUUGUUUACUUUUAAGUGGAGCAUGUUUUAUAUAUUUCGUUGAGUCUUGUAUUCUUUCAGACGACCUGCAAGUUAUGAACGGCUAUUUCGGCGAUGGCUGAAGUAGACUUGCCGUUUAUAGCUCGCUGUUAUCUGUCAGAACCCUUACUAGUAGUAGGUAUAAGUUUUUUUUCUAUUAAAUGUUUGGUUUUCAA